AAGCCUGCUCCUUUUUAUUGACUUUAGACAUCCACAUAUAAAAGCCUGUGGUUUUGUAGUUAUGACUUUAUAAUGCUUGUUUCAAGUUUACACUUGACUGAAACCUACUUUUCAGGGAGACAGAUGUCAUGCCUACUCCUGCUCCCUGCUCGACAUCGGCAGUCUCCUAACCACCGGUCCUGGUAACCCAUAUUGCGCACACCUGCUCCCCAUCGUUAAGCACACCUGGACUUCAUCACCACCCUGAUUACUCUCACUUCAUAUAGCCCUCUGUAGCCUCAGUCAUCAGGCAAUAUUGGUUUUGGUUGCGUUCAGUACAAAUCUCCUGUUUUGCAUUUUCUUCAUGUUUUUUUAAAUGAUUAAACUCACCUUCUGCUCCUGUCUCGCUAUAUGUUACAGAAUACUGCCUCAGAAGAUUACGCCAUCUUCCAGACGGUCAAGGAACAGGGUAAUCUACUCCACCAACACCACCACGACGACCAGCUGGCUCUACUGGUUAUGACUAUGAAGGAAGUCCUGCGUGUUCUUCUCCGCCUCGACACCACCAGCGAGGUUCUCCAUACCUCUGACGGAGGGCCUCCUACCAUGGGUUGUCACAGUGAGCCAGUCCCCCAGCCUACCCAGUCAUCCACCCAGGUCAAAGAUGCCCAACUGUCCCUUCCAGAGAAGUAUGACAGCACUCCAUUUAAAUACUGUGGUUUCCUACUCCAGUGCUCCCUCUAUUUUGCCCAUCAGGAGGGAGCCCUCACCACUCAGAGGUCCAAGGUUGCCACGGUCAUUUCUCUGCUGACCGGAUGGGUAUUGGUGUGGGCUACGGCCAUCUGGAAGAGAGGAGGAGCUGGGUUCCUAUGAAAGGUUCAUGGCUCUGUUCAGUGUGGUCUUUGCCCAUCCUCGAGAGGGAAGAAAGGGAGGCGAGCUACUUUUCCAACUCCAGCAGGGUGCCCAGACCACUGUGGAGUACGCCGUCACCUUUCGGACUGUAGCAGCUUCCAGUGGAUGGAAUGAGCUUGCGUUUCGCACUCGACUGCGCGAAGAGGUCCAGACGGAAUUCGCAUGUCGGGAUGACAACAUAUCCUUGGACGCUCUCAUCGCGAUGGCCAUCCAUCUGGAUAACCUUCUUCGGGAGCGCCGGUGUCCACCUCGCCACUUACCUCACUCAUUUGGCUCUCCUGAGGCAGAGUCUGAACCCAUGGCGGUAGGGGCCACACACUUCUCCGUGAUGUUGCCAGAGACAUCUAGGGCUCUGUUCCUAUUGCGGCCAGAAGAGGCACCAGAUUCAGGGGUCCACUAGAGCAGAGGGGCGGCCCUGUGACCUUCGGUCUCACAGAGUAGGCGUGAAUAUUCCAUUGUCAUCGUUUUCCACCAAACCCUUUCUGGUUCCCAUUUCACUGGAUGACUAUCCCUCAAAUGUUGUCUCUUCAGCUCUAGUGGACUCGCAGGGAACUUUAUCAGUCUGGCCCUCGCCUCCUCCCUGAACUAAACCUCAUACCCUCUCUCCUUUUCCUGUCCAAGCCCUGGAUAUUCAACCGUUGGGAUCCGGCACAAUUAUGAACGUCACAGCACCACUCACCCUCACCGUGGGACCCAAGCACCAGGAAAGACUUUCCUUCCUCAUCACCACUCCCGUACACAAACUCAUCCUCGGCCUUCCGUGGCUCCAACUUUGUAACCCCACCAUCUCCCGGUCAAAGAUGAGAAUUACCGCCUGGGGACCAGGAUGCCGGAGGACCUUAUUUCCCGCACCCUGUGGUUCCACAUCAGUGGAGGUCCUGUGAGUGUCCUCCUGCCCAUCAAUCGGUCCUCCCAUAUCAUUGGCCCCAUGUUUUGGGAUGUAGAUGUGGACAUCCCCCAGGCUCUGGAGAGGGAACCAGCUCCAGCCACCUGCCCUCUGGAGAGCAUCUACGUCCCCACGGGGGUGAGAGAUUGGCUGUUGACCUGGGCACACACAUCACUCACUGCUGGACACCCAGGAAUCACCACACCAUCCAAUCCCUCGCCAAUAAAUACUGGUGGCCCACCUUGGCGCAGGACGUCCCCCACUGUCAACUCUUGUUCAGCAUGUACUCAAUCCAUCUGUCCAUAGACUUUGUAAUGGAAAUCUCCCCGUUUCUGAUGGUAUUACCACUAUUCUGGUUGUUUUUUCUAAAUCCUGCCGUUUUAUACCCCUCUCUGGUCUACCUUCCGCUCUCCAGGUUGCUGAGGCACUAUUCCAGCACUAUGGCCUUCACCUCGCGGUUCUGGAAAACCUUUAUGGAAAAGCUGGGGGCCACGGUCAACCUCACAUCGGGGUACCUGCCUCAGUCUAACGGACAGGUGGAGAGGACCAACCAGGAGCUGUGGAGGUCAACCAUGGUUUGAGUUUUAGGGAGGCUGGGCAGAGGGUCCAGCCUAACUUGAGUCGCUACACUGCAGCAAGUGUCAUCCUGACAUUUCGAAAUGAGGACAGAAUUGUUAGACGACCCUUCAAUGGAGGAAGAAACCGGCUGUUCACAGCAGAGCUGGAACAACACAUAGUGAAUAUGUUCACUUCAAACAACAGCAUACGUUUACGACAACUGCAUCACCACGUCAUCACCGACUACACAACAUUCAGUAACAUAAAUAGGAGAGUUAUGGAACUAGAUGUUGCUGCAGAGCAUCAUGAUUUUGUCUACGUUGAUGUCAGCUUUAACCUAGCCAAAACAAGACGCAGGGGAAGAAACCUCAUAGUCAACGUGCCAUUGUCAAUGUCCAUGGACAGCGUGGUGGCAACAUCACAAUGUGUGCAGCCAUUAGUCAGAAUGGUGUCCUUCAUAAUCAUGUCACUCUUGGUCCUUACAAACUGCCCACAUUAUCACCUUCCUUGACACCCUGCAUAAUAUCCUCAUUCCCAAUGACCAGCGGAAUGGACCAGAGCAGUCCAGGUUUGUUGUCAUCUGGGACAACGUAAGUUUCCACCGGGCUGCUCUGGUCUGAAAAUGGUUCAUUGGCCAUCUGCAAGUUUUGAUGCUCAACCUGCUACUAUAUUCUCCAUUUCUAAACCCAGUAGGAUAGUUAUUUUCGGCGUGGCAUUAAAAAGUAUAUGAUCGCCAACCCCACCAAUGCAUACCACUAUCCCAGGCGAUGGAGGAGGCCUGUGGUGACAUAGACGAGGGGUCAUGCCAGGGUUGGAUAAGCCACUCCAGACGCUACUUCCCCCGCUGUUUAGCCAGAGAGAACAUUGCUUGUGAUGUUGAUGCGGUGCUGUGGCCAGACACAAAUAGGAGACAGGAUGCACCCUAAUUGUUUUUUUUCUUAAUAGUAACAAGCCUAUUUGAUUAUCUUCUACUGUAUUUGUUUUGUCUGUUACUGUUCAUCCUGAAAUAUGGAUGAAAACACAAAUACAUUUUAUCCCCCCCCCCCCCCCUUGCAUUUCUGUUUAUAGUGUAAAUAUAUACUGUAUAUAUUUGUGCACGUACAUGGGUGUUAUGACAAACUGCCAUGGUCUCCACUGCACACUGAACAUACAAAACGCACAAGAUAGUUCUACAUUAGUGUAGUGUUCUACAUUUGUCACAUCCCCGGUGCACAACUGAGCAAGGUACGUUAGUGUGUCUAGUUUGAGAAACAGAUGCCUCACAAUUCCCCAACUAGCAGUUUCAUUAACUAGUACCCACAAAACACCAGUCUCGAGUGAAGAGGCGACUCCGGGAUGCUGGCCUUCUAGGUCAGAGUUGCAA